GUGCCAGCCGCCGCGGUAAUACGUAGGGGGCGAGCGUUGUUCGGAUUUACUGGGCGUAAAGAGCGCGUAGGCGGUUCGAUAAGUCAGAGGUGAAAUCCCUCGGCUCAACCGAGGACCCGCGUCUGAUACUGUCGAACUUGAGUGCAGGAGAGGAGAGCGGAAUUCCCAAUGUAGCGGUGAAAUGCGUAGAUAUUGGGAGGAACACCGGUGGCGAAGGCGGCUCUCUGGACUGUCACUGACGCUGAGGCGCGAAAGCUAGGGGAGCAAACGGGAUUAGAAACCCGGGUAGUCC
rnacentral:rRNA from 1 species